rnacentral:rRNA from 1 species
AUUGAACGCUGGCGGAAUGCUUUACACAUGCAAGUCGAACGGCAGCACGGACUUCGGUCUGGUGGCGAGUGGCGAGCGGGUGAGUAAUAUAUCGGAACGUGGCAAGUCGUGGGGGAUAACGUAGCGAAAGCUACGCUAAGACCGCAUACGAUCUACGGAGGAAAGCGGGGGAUCGGAAGACCUCGCGCGAUUGGAGCGGCCGAUAUCAGAUUAGGUAGUUGGUGAGGUAAAGGCUCACCAAGCCGACGAUCUGUAGCUGGUCUGAGAGGACGACCAGCCACACUGGGACUGAGACACGGCCCAGACUCCUACGGGAGGCAGCAGUGGGGAAUUUUGGACAAUGGACGCAAGUCUGAUCCAGCCAUUCCGCGUGCAGGACGAAGGCCUUCGGGUUGUAAACUGCUUUUGUACAGAACGAAAAGGUCUCUAUUAAUACUAGGGGCUCAUGACGGUACUGUAAGAAUAAGCACCGGCUAACUACGUGCCAGCAGCCGCGGUAA